CCGCGCCUUCCCGCCCUCGCUCCGCUCCGCCGCCGAGUCCCGAGGGGCUGUCUAGUCUGGAAGGACGUCCCGCGCCUUCACUUCGCCAACUUCUGCUUCUUAUUCUCAGCGGUUCAGGGCGGCCGAGAAACACCUCGGGUACCUUUGUUUUGUGACCAGCAAAUCACACUUUACAGGAGGGAAGGCAUGAGGACCAAUUUCAAAAAGGAAAAAUAGGGAUAACAUACACAGACGGACUCCAACUUAUGCUCAUCAAUGAUUCUUGAGGGGAAGCUUUCAAGAGCUCUGGGGGAAAAUCACAAAGACUACUGUGUGAAGAAUGGACUAGAAUGAGAAAGAGAGGAGGUUCUGAGACUGACUGGAAGGCUGUCCUAGUAAUCCAGGCUAGAUGGUGGUCACUUGGACUAAGGUAUAGCAGUAACUGGAUUCAAGACUUGUUUUGUAAGUAUCUGUAGGACUUUCUGAUAGGCUGUGGCCAGAGCAUCAUUGGUUAGAGCAUCAUUCUGAUACACCAAGGACUUUCUGCUGGAUGCAUGUGAGCAUUUAGGAAAAUGAAGAUACCACUUACAGUAAUGGAAGCAACUCUGGGAAGAGUGAAUUGGAAGAAGAGGAGAAAUGCUUCAUUCUCCUUCGGACAUGUUAAGUUUGAGAGUUCGGGUAGAAAAGAGAGGAGAACUGAGUUCAGAGCCUGGAGCACUGCAAGAGGUCUGCUGAGGAGGAGGAGCCAGAAAGGGGCUGAGAAAGAGCUGCCGGGCGAGUCAGAGGAAAAUCCAGAGUCCGACUUCACAGAUGUCUACGCAGGCGACCUUAAUAAGAAUUGUUUCUUAUCAGUGUGGGAAUGGGAGAAUAAAAGUCUGACUGAAGUUUAAGGAGGAGAGAAUAGGAGGUGAGGACAAAAAGUAGCUUUCAGAAAUUUUUUCCAUUAUGUGAGAAAGAAAAAUGGAGUGGUGGUUGGAAGCAGAAGGGGGACCCGGAGAGAUAUGUCGGCUGCUGAUAGAAACAAUCCAGGAGAAGGGAAGAAAUGGGAGAUGAAGGAGAGCAAGGUAAUAAUGAAGGUACACAGCCACGUGGAAGGAUUGGACUUUGGCCUUGAUAGAAGAAGGAUGCAUCUUCCCUAACUCAAGGGCAAGACAGGGACCCAGGUUCAGAUGCAGGUGGGCUGCAGGAUUUGGUAAGGAGUUGAAUCCAAUUUUCCCAAAUUCUACUCCAGAGUGAAAAGUAACCACAUAGCCUCCGUCAGAAUCAUGAAGCUGUAUUUGUUGUAUUGGACACAAUAGCUUUUGAAAGAUGUGACUUGGUUGAUUUAUAGUGUGAAAAUAUUCUGCAAACCUGGUCAUUUAAGUUUAGUGGUACGCAAAUGUCAUUAUCUAGUUAAAUGAAUUCUUAUAGCACUAAGCUUGUUUUGAGUGCACAGCCCUCAUUUUUCAGUUUGAAUCAAGAAUGAAGUCAACAGCCCAGCCAGUGUCGACCUAUGAACCAGGAGAUUAUGGUUCAAUUUCUGGUCAGGGCACAAACCCAGUUGCGGGUUCAAUCCCCAG